rnacentral:rRNA from 1 species
AUUGAACGCUGGCGGCGUGCCUAACACAUGCAAGUCGCGCGCGAAAGGGAGCAAUCCCGAGUAGAGUGGCGGACGGGUGAGUAACGCGUAGGAAUCUACCUCGUAGUGGGGGACAACCCGGCGAAAGCCGGGCUAAUAACGCAUACGAACUGAGGGUGAAAGCAGGGGAUCGCAAGACCUUGCGCUAUGAGAUGAGCCUGCGGCCGAUUAGCUAGUUGGUGACGUAACGGCACACCAAGGCGACGAUGGGUAACUGGUUUGAGAUAACGACCCGUCACACUCGGACUGAGACACGGCCCAGACUCCUACGGGAGGCAGCAGUGGGGAAUCUUGGACAAUGGGGGCAACCCUGAUCCAGCGACGCCGCGUGUGAAGAAGGCCUUCGGGUUGUAAAGCACUUUCGGCAGGGACAAACAAGACGGAGCUAACAUCUCCGUUCCUGAUGGUACCUGAAGAAGAAGCACCGGCUAACUCUGUGCCAGCAGCCGCCGCGGUAA